UCUCCGCCUUAGAGGUCGUUCCUGCCUGAAUGUUCGUGCCUGCCUGAGAGUUCUCCCCCCUACCUCGCCUGGCCUGGAUACAGAAAGAGCUUCAAAGGACUGCUUCACCUAUUGACACCCUUUGUAAGCCUAACGACCCUUAACGACCCACCUGCAGCUACUGAAAGGGAACGAGAGGGACAGACCGCAGGAGGAAGUCAGCCUGAUCUCUUUACUGCUAAGGCUGCCCCGCAGUCCUUGAAGGUAAGAGAGUCUGGAGGAAAGAAGAGUCUCCCUUUAUCAAGGAGGACUGUGCUAGAGAUCAACUGGACAAAAUGGAUACCCACAGGUUCAAAGGUCCCCAAGGGUUGCACCCAUGACUCCUGAAAGAGCUGACUAAGAUUAUUGCUAAGCCACUUCCCAUGAUUUUUGAAAGAUUGCAGAGAACACAGAAGGUGCCUUAGGAUUGGAGGAAAAUCACUGACAUUCCAUCUUCAAAAAGGGCAAAAAGGAAGACUAAGGAAACUACAUGACAAUGCCCUGCUUGAUCUGCAGAGAUCUGUUCCAACCCCACAAUUCUGUGGCUCUGGUAAAAUGAUCGUACUAAUCAUAGAGCUGAUCAUACCAUCAGAUUCACAAUCUUGUAUGUGGUGAUGCAAAAUUUAACUGUGAAGGAACUAGUUUGCACAGGAAGGUACCAAUGCUGAUUUGCGAAAGGAGUGAUUUCCCAGUAUUGAAUGUUUGGUAUCUUUAAUAAUGAGCUAUUCUGUGGUGGAUUUUUUUUUUUUUUCUUAAUGGACACAUUUUUGAACCAGAUCCUACACAGGAUUUUGUUGUAAGUUAGUUUAAAGAAAUGCUCAUCUGCAUUUUAUCAGGUAAACUAUUAAUUUUAACAAAUAUUUAUAAUGAAAUGUUACCUAUCAUAGUCCUCAGUAAGAGUUAGUACAAUUAAAGUAUGUAAAUGCAUGUUCUACAAAGAAUUCUUCCCCUUCUUUGCUAUUUUACUGUAGCUUAAUUUUAAAUUAACCUUGAAUUUAUUGCAUAACUACACAAUGUGGCAGUGCAUGUCUGUUUUGCCACAUUAAUCUCAUUUUAAUUUUAAAAUUUUGUUAGCUUCUCAAAUGUUAAGAAAGUAUGUAAAUAGAGGUGCAACAUCUGAAUUCUGAAUACACUAGCAUUAAGAUCAUCACAGCAUUAUGGCAUUUGCUGAGGAAAUUAAAAUACCUCCAACCUC